ACUGCGGGCCUUUCUUAUACCUGCCCUCUCCCAGCGGGAAGCCUCUUCGGUGCUCCUCCGGCGAACGGGUGAGUAACACGUGAGCAACCUGCCCUACGCUUUGGGAUAACCCCGGGAAACCGGGGCUAAUACCGAAUAUGACCACCGGCCGCAUGGUUGGUGGUGGAAAGUUUUUCGGCCUGGGAUGGGCUCGCGGCCUAUCAGCUUGUUGGUGGGGUGAUGGCCUACCAAGGCGACGACGGGUAGCCGGACUGAGAGGGCGACCGGCCACACUGGGACUGAAACACGGCCCAAACUCCUACGGGAGGCAGCAGUGGGGAAUAUUGCACAAUGGGCGGAAGCCUGAUGCAGCGACCCACGCGCGUGAGGGAUGACGGCCUUCCGGUUGUAAACCUUCUUUCAGCAGGGACCAAGCGCUAAGUGACGGUACCUGCAGAAGAAGCGCCGGCCAACUACCUGCCAGCAGCCGCGGUAAGACGUAGGGCGCGAGCGUUGUCCGGGAUUUAUUGGGCGUAAAGAGCUCGUAAGCGGCUUGUCGCGUCGACUGUGAAAACCCGGCAGCUCAACUGCGGGCCUGCAGUCGAUACGGGCAGGCUAGAGUUCUGGUAGGGGAGACUGGAAUUCCUGGUGUAGCGGUGAAAUGCGCAGAUAUCAGGAGGAACACCGGUGGCGAAGGCGGGUCUCUUGGCCGAUACUGACGCUGAGGAGCGAAAGCGUGGGGAGCGAACAGGAUUAGAUACCCUGGUAGUCCACGCUGUAAACGUUGGGCGCUAGGUGUGGGGGGCCUCUCCGGUUCACCUGUGCCGCAGCUAACGCAUUAAGCGCCCCGCCUGGGGAGUACGGCCGCAAGGCUAAAACUCAAAGGAAUUGACGGGGGCCCGCACAAGCGGCGGAGCAUGCGGAUUAAUUCGAUGCAACGCGAAGAACCUUACCUGGGUUUGACAUGACCGCAGAAACCCGCAGAGAUGUCGGGUCCUUCGGGGGCGGUCAUCAGGUGGUGCACUGGCUGUCGUCAGCUCGUGUCGUGAGAAUGUUGGGUUAAGUCCCGCAACGAAGCGCAACCCUCGUUCGAUGUUGCCAGCGCGUUAUGGCGGGGACUCAUCGAAGACUGCCGGGGUCAACUCGGAGGAAGGUGGGGAUGACGUCAAGUCAUCAUGCCCCUUAUGUCCAGGGCUUCACGCAUGCUACAAUGGCCGGUACAAUGGGCUGCGAUACCGUGAGGUGGAGCGAAUCCCAAAAAGCCGGUCUCAGUUCGGAUCGGGGUUUGCAACUCGACCCCGUGAUGUCGGAGUCGCUAGUAAUUGCAGAUCAGCUUCGAGGCGGUAACCAUACCCUUGGGCAGCCGCUCGACCGUUAAAGGGGCCUUUGCUCCACCGCGAACCCGGAGGGCCACUCCGCUUGAGUGGGCCUUAGAAAGGACGU
rnacentral:rRNA from 1 species